UACGUAGGGGGCAAGCGUUAUCCGGAUUUACUGGGUGUAAAGGGUGCGUAGGUGGUAUGGCAAGUUGGAUGUGAAAUUUUGGGGCUCAACCUCAAAGCUGCAUCCAAAACUGCUGAACUAGAGUGCAGGAGAGGAAAGUGGAAUUCCGAGUGUAGCGGUGAAAUGCGUAGAGAUUCGGAGGAACACCAGUAGCGAAGGCGGCUUUCUGGACUGUAACUGACACUGAGGCACGAAAGCGUGGGGAGCAAACAGGAUUAGAUACC
rnacentral:rRNA from 1 species